AGUGGUAUAUAUAUAUAUAUAUAUAUAGAGAGAGAUAUAUACAUAUGUGUACCGCAAGAAACAACGAAACAAAAACACAGUACGAACAAGUUCGAUGAAAAAAAAAGAGCGGAAUAACAAAUUUUUUUUAUUAACCAAACGGGAGUAAAAAUAGUAAGUAUGCAUAUCGACACACACGUGCCCAUACGUAUAUAUAUAAAUAUAUAUCUGUAUAUAUACAUAUUUGCAUUUGUAUAUUUACUAGAAUGUAAAAAUGAAUGAGGAUAAUGAUAUUAAACUAAUGGAGAGUAGUAUUAAUGACUCUAUAUGGAAUGAAACAAAUUUAAAAAACAACUAUAAUAAUAAUAAUAUAAAUAGUCACUAUAUAUGUUCUACUAUCACACCUUGUGACGAAAAAAAAAUGACAAUACAAACAUUAAAUGUUAGUAAUAAUAAUUGUAUUAAUGAUAAAGUUAUAUAUACGAAGGACCUUCACUUUAUACAGGUUGUGUCACCGGUACUGCAGAAAAUACUGAUUGUAAUUAUAUUGUUAAUAGUAACAAUGCGAGUGAAAACAAUAUACAUCAAGAUAUGAGCGAAGAAGAAAAUAUCGAAAAUUCUUUACUCGAAGGUGGAGAAAUAAAAAAUGGAACAUGUACUUCGGAUGUACUAUACGAUAAAAAUGGUACAAAUGGUACUACUGAUAAUAUGUGUAAUAGUUUCAAUAGUAGUAAUGACAUUAACGACAAUUAUAGUGGAAGGAAAUGUGAGGAGAGUGAAAAGAACAGUUAUGAACAACAAUUAUCUUUAUCAUCAGCCGAUAGUAGUGAUAAAAAUAGCACUAUAUUUUCAAAGAAAGAGCAUACAGAAAUAAUGCAAAAUAUAAUAAAUUUUAAUAAAAAUGAGAUUGAAUUAAAUUUAAGUAGAGGGGAAUUAUAUUUAACUGAAGAAGAGUAUAUAUUUAUAUCUUCUUUUUUAGAUUCUAGUAAAUUUAGAUUUUAUUCUAUUGAAGAUAUGAUAAAAAAAAAUAAAAAAAAAAGAGAUAUAUAUAAUAAUAAUAUGACAGUGGAGGAGUCAUAUUCAACAAAUUAUAAACGAUCAAAAAGUGAUAUAACUUUUUAUGCACGUAAUAAUAUAUAUAAUAAUAAGUAUAAUAAUUAUAAUGAUAAACAUGGAUAUCCGAGUGAUAAAAAUAGUACUUAUAGUGAUAUAAAUUGUAGUAUGAAUGAAAUAAUAGAAGAAUAUAAUAAUAUUAAUAAUAAACUAUCAAAUUAUAAUACAUCAACUAUAUUAUUAGACAAUAUAAAUAAUAUAUCAUUAAAUAAAUUACAAGAAGGAAAUAAAAAUAGUAUAAACGAAUUGACAGAUAAUAUCACUAUGAAUGAUAAAGAUGGCUUAACAUGUGGUAUUAGUAAUAGUAGUAGUUGUAGUAGUAAAACGAAAAUGGAAUUAUGUAAUGAUAAAGAACUUAGUGCAGAAGAAAAAGAACAAAUUGAAUUAUGUGAAGAAGUAAUUAUACAAUUAAAAAAAUAUUAUUAUGAUAGAAUAAUGAAUUUAGAAAGUCAUUUUAAUAAUCUAGAUGAUAAAAUAGAACAUAAUAAUUUUUUUUAUUUUAAUUGUAUAAUGGAUAAAUUAAAAAAUAGAAAAUAUAAAAAUAUAUUAUUAAUUUAUAAUGAUAUAUAUUCUUAUAUAAAUAAUUUAUUAUAUUUAUCAAAACCAUCUAGUUACAUUUGGAUGAAAGUACAUGAACUAUCAACUCAGAUAACUAAUACAAUAUUAAAUAUACAAAGAACAAAAGUAGAUACCUAUGGAAACAUGAAUUAUCAUAGUAAUCUGCAAAAAAGUACUCAAAACAGUGUGUACAACAAUAUGCACAACAACAUGCACAACAAUAUGUACAAUAACAUGUACAAUAACAUGCACAACAAUAUGCACAACAAUAUGCAUAACAAUAUGUACAACCACGAGUACAAUAAUUUAUAUACUACUAGUAAUGGCGAAGGAGAUGCUGAACAAUUUCGACAAAGACAUUUUGGAGAUAGAAAUCAAUUUAAUAAACAAAAAGGCAGUGAUGAAACGAUUGAAAAUGUGAUUACUGAGGAAGAGAAAUUAGCGUUUCAAAUGCUUCUUGCAAAGUUGGAUCAGGAUAUACACUUCGAA
rnacentral:lncRNA from 1 species